AAAAAGGGGGAAGCGGGGUCUGAAGUCUUUCGUUCGUCACACACACAUGCAUCUACCAGCGGAUUGCGCUGGACCGAGUGUACCCAUCUCUCUCGAUUUGACAAGAUUUUUCUGCUAUCGCUCUCAUCCGAGUGUGAGGCAUCCUCAGUCUGUCCAGAACCUUCCCUGUGGAAGGAUGUGCUGAAGUGAGGUGCGAUUUCUUGUGCGACGUACUUUGCUCGUCUACGUUUUGGACCGUGUUCAGUUCAGUUAUUGAAUGAUUUAUCCUAGCAAAUUGUCGAGUUACAGGUGUGUGCGCUAUUUAUCAACGACUACCUGCUAGCCUCUUCAACAAUCUUCAAAGUGAGCGACGCAAAGAAAACGUUUUCCAGUUUUAAAAUAUUAAGCCCCCAGUGAGGACGUCAUUACUUAACAGAAGCUGGUUCAACAAGCGCAGCUCCUGUUCAUGACGUUAUCACGGAUGGUACCCCGUCCGCGGUAGGAGGAAGGAAGAACGAGAGGAGGAAGAACGGUAAAUUUGGAAGGGGGAAAGCGUUCUGCCGUCUACACAGCGGGAGUAUGCCAAACACAUGUUGGAAGGGAGAGGGAUAUUAUUCA